rnacentral:rRNA from 1 species
UACAGAGGUCCCAAGCGUUGUUCGGAUUCACUGGGCGUAAAGGGUGCGUAGGCGGUCGGGUAAGUCUGAUGUGAAAUCUCACAGCUUAACUGUGAAACUGCAUUGGAUACUAUCCGGCUCGAGGAAUGGAGGGGAGACUGGAAUACUUGGUGUAGCAGUGAAAUGCGUAGAUAUCAAGUGGAACACCAGUGGCGAAGGCGGCGUUCUGGACUGUAACUGACACUGAGAAACGAAAGCCAGGGUAGCAAACGGG